UUUGCAAUCGAUCCUAUACCCGAAGCGUAUGGGACACGACGCAUAAUGUUUUAUUUGCUAUGUUCUCAAAAUUCGAAUUGUGAAGAGGAAUGUCGUAAUCAUAAUCGAAAUUUUAAGAACACACUAUGUACCUUUGACUAAAUUUAUUAACAUUUCUCAACCUAAUCCUUUAGAUUUGAAAUGAAGCAUAAUAUUCUCUCCCUUAAUUAUAGCAAAACAACUAUUCCAUCCUUACAACUUUGCAAAGAAUGACUCUUGUUUUCUAUAAUUAAUAUUGCCAACUUGCAAUACUUUCCUUAAUAAUCAUACAAUCAUAACUUUUAUGCUCCCACUAUCAUGAUGAUUAUUAUAAAACAUAACACUUAUGCUCCCACUAGCUUCGACAUGUAUUCAUAAACAUCUUAACUUUCAGAAAAACAAUGCUUAUUGAAUUUCUUAAGUUCAUGUUUCUAAUACUUAGUGCUUUGAUAAUCUUUUAUCAAGGCUUCUUGAACUUAUACACCUUUGCCUUAGAUAGUUCAUAUGUGUGUCUAAACAAUUAAGACUAAUUGCCAAACCUCACAAUUCAAAUUAUGGAAAGGGAUACCGUAACCAUAAUCGAAUUCGAGAAUGCAAUUUUACAAUCACUAUCUUCUUAAAAUCUUUCUUAGUGAAAGCAUUUCCUCACAAUCAUUUUCAUGAAGGAGGGAAUCUUAUGACACUUAGAUUUUAAUGGUGUAUGUGUUCCUAUCCAUGUGAAUUUGUCAAAACCAAAGUUUACGACAAAUUCAAACUCAUAUGGACCGAACUUUCUUAAUCUUGAUUUCUUGCCUUAUGGUAGCACAGCUGCCCACCAUGUCUUCCAAGUAGUUAAGCAGCUCACCCUUUCCUAUCAAUGUACCUUUCAUUGAUUAAGGUCCUUGCCUUUUAUACAUUCAAAUGAGAACUCAUAGGACUCACAUGCAUAAUUAACUCAAUUGGAACAGCGCAGAAACAUUAUAAUGUCAACACGAUAGGUUGUAAACCUCAAAUCGUGUGCUAGUGAUGAUUGAUAAGGUUUAUUUUAUUUGUUCUUGAAACCUUUCAAAAAAUUUAAGACUCCCACUGACUCCUUGACAUAUAAGAUUCUCUUGUCAAUAAACAUUUCUUG
rnacentral:lncRNA from 1 species